AUCACUACAUAGCGAUGCCACACAUGCGCUGUACAUAGUGGUUUGCCGGUGGCGCUGCUCCAGCGCCAUAUGGAUGGCGGUGGGAUCCCUCUGUCGCCACUACAGCCACGAACGGAGGAUCCUCUACAUGCAGCUGUAGUGGCGACAGAGGGAUCCCCGCCGUCUGUACAGUGCUCGAGCAGCGCCGGCGGCAAACUGCUAUGUACAGUGCACAUGUGGCAUCGCUACGUACAGUGCAU